GUCCACGCCGUAAACGAUGAAUGCUAGCCGUUGGUGGGUUUACCCUUCAGUGGCGCAGCUAACGCUUUAAGCAUUCCGCCUGGGGAGUACGGUCGCAAGAUUAAAACUCAAAGGAAUUGACGGGGCCCGCACAAGCGGUGGAGCAUGUGGUUUAAUUCGAUGCAACGCGAAAACCUUACCUACCCUUGACAUGGAUAGAAUCCUCAAGAGAUUGAGGAGUGCUCGAAAGAGAACUAUUACACAGGUGCUGCAUGGCUGUCGU
rnacentral:rRNA from 1 species